UCAGCGUCACGGCCGUAGAUGGGUAGAAU
rnacentral:piRNA from 1 species